GCCCUUGUAGGUCAAUUGGAUAGACCGUCAGCUUCCGGAGCUGGAUGUUGGGAGUUCGAAUCUCCCCGAGGGCA
rnacentral:tRNA from 1 species